ensembl:misc_RNA Y_RNA Y RNA
GGCUGGCUGGGCAUGGUGGUGUUCACAGCUAAUCAUCAGUUACAGAUUCCUUGGUUCCUUCCCCACUCCCACUGCUUCACUUGACUAGCCUGAA